rfam:Myotis lucifugus cont2.52522, whole genome shotgun sequence.
CCAAAGGCUCUUUUCAGAGCCACUCACAGGGUCAGAAGGAGCUGA